rnacentral:rRNA from 1 species
AACGAACGCUGGCGGCAGGCUUAACACAUGCAAGUCGAGCGCCCCGCAAGGGGAGCGGCAGACGGGUGAGUAACGCGUGGGAAUCUACCCAUCUCUACGGAAUAACGCAUGGAAACGUGUGCUAAUACCGUAUACGUCCUUCGGGAGAAAGAUUUAUCGGAGAUGGAUGAGCCCGCGUUGGAUUAGCUAGUUGGUGGGGUAAAGGCCUACCAAGGCGACGAUCCAUAGCUGGUCUGAGGGGAUGAUCAGCCACACUGGGACUGAGACACGGCCCAGACUCCUACGGGAGGCAGCAGUGGCGAAUAUUGGACAAUGGGCGCAAGCCUGAUCCAGCCAUGCCGCGUGAGUGAUGAAGGCCCUAGGGUUGUAAAGCUCUUUCACCGGUGAAGAUAAUGACGGUAACCGGAGAAGAAGCCCCGGCUAACUUCGUGCCAGCAGCCGCCGUAACAC